rnacentral:hammerhead_ribozyme from 1 species
GCACUGCUGAAGAGUCCCUUAAUAGGACAAAACGGCCGUCCAGUUC